AGCGAACGCUGGCGGCGUGCCUAACACAUGCAAGUCGAACGUGAAAAGGGAAACCUGAGUAAAGUGGCGUACGGGUGAGUAACGCGUAGGUAAUCUACCCCAGAAUCUGGAAUAACCUGCCGAAAGGCGGGCUAAUACUGGAUAGAGCGAGGGAACUCGUAAGAGAGUUUUUCGGGAAAGGGAGCCCGCAAGGGCCUUCGUUCUGGGAUGAGCCUGCGUCUCAUUAGCUAGUUGGUAAGGUAACGGCUUACCAAGGCGAUGAUGAGUAGCUGGUCUGAGAGGAUGAUCAGCCACACUGGAACUGAAACACGGUCCAGACUCCUACGGGAGGCAGCAGUGGGGAAUCUUGCGCAAUGGACGAAAGUCUGACGCAGCCACGCCGCGUGAGUGAAGAAGGCCUUCGGGUUGUAAAGCUCUGUCGGAUGGGACGAACAUCUUCAUAGUGAAUAGCUAUGAGGACUGACGGUACCAUCAAAGGAAGCACCGGCUAACUCUGU
rnacentral:rRNA from 1 species